UCCCACACCUUUAUCUACAUCCACCUCUAUCCCUACAUCAGCCUCUCUUGUUCUUCCUGUGUUAAUCUCUGUUGGGUCAGUCUGUGUUGUGGUUCUACUGGUGUUACUGGCUCUACUGGUGAGAAGAGAUGUUGACCUGAAACCUGAAGAGAUUUAUACAACUGUGGUUUACUCAGCAGUGAGAGCUGAAGACGUCAGUAUUGGAGACAAAACCAUCAGAAAGAGGAGUCCAAGACUUUAAACCAGAGCCAGACGUCGUCUACUCUUCACUGAAGUAGUCCACCAGUCCAACCACUGAUGUCCAGCUGCUGGUCUCUAACUGGUCCCCCCAGCACUUCAGACCAGAGGACAUCCACAUAUAAUCCAUGACAUUAGAAAUAAAUCUGAAUCAGAUAAAAUAUAAUUGAAUAUGUUUCCAUUGAAUAGAAUCUAACACCGACUUUCAGUUGAUUAGUUGUCUUUUCUCUACCAGCCUUCAGUCUUUCAUUAAUUUCUCUAUU